AACCUUAUGGACCUGCGGGCGUAUACCUGCGGAGGGAUCAUUACCUAGAGUUGUAGGCUUUGCCUGCUAUCUCUUACCCAUGUCUUUUGAGUACCUUACGUUUCCUCGGUGGGUUCGCCCUCCGAUUGGACAAACUUAAACCCUUUGCAGUUGAAAUCAGCGUCUGAAAAAACUUAAUAGUUACAACUUUUAACAAUGGAUCU
rnacentral:misc_RNA from 1 species